rnacentral:lncRNA from 1 species
CACAAAAACUCAUAGAUAAGCCAAUUUAUAUAAAAGAAAUCUUUUGAAUAUUUAUCAGGCCAUUUAGAAAUGCUGACACUCCCAUCCUAAGAACGCCUUUGGUAUUCUCUUGCAUCAUUGCAUUAAUGAUUAACUUUUACUUCUGAAUUUCUACAGCAAGGAAAUAAAUAGGAUGUCUCCAAAGCCCUAGCAUGAACAUCACUCCCUGAAAUUUCGCCCUAGAGGGAGAGGUCCACAAGGGCAAACUGUCUUCCAAAGGUUUAUAUGCUAGUCAGUUCUUAUUUUAUGGUCCUUGUUAUUUUCCUAAACUAGGUUAUAUAAGGAAAAUUAUAAAAAUUGUUAUCAAGUAACUCUAAUAUUCUGUUUUGCAUUAUUAAAGGUCAAAGGCUUAAAUAGAUACCUUCUGGCUUCUACAUUUCAUUUACUUCUUUAAAGAAGAAAGUCACAAAAAGAGGUUUCUGUGUCAACACCCAGAAAGAAUGCCAGGGAGGACUAGGGUCAAAAAGAUACACUCUCAGGUCUUUGAGAAAGAUAGUUUCCAGUGGUUAGAUACAUUCUUCCACUAAGUUGUAAUUUCACUCAUGUACUGUCUUCAAGUGUGUGGAAGAGUAGACACAGACAAUGGGUAAAUGAGAAUCUGAGGGGGCUGGUGCUUAACAGCUGUCGUUAGACUUAGUCUCCAAUAGCAAUUAAUCUUUUGCAAAAGACCAUUUCAAUGCCUUCAAUUCUUUUUCAGUGACAAUAUAUUUGCACACACAGGUCUUUUAGUGUACCUUUACUGACUGAGGUAAGGAGGUUUUGGAAAGAAAACACUUUUGUUUCAUUGUAUAUUAAUAAACGUUAAUGCAUAUCUCAACUUUUUCCUGACUUUUAUAAUAAAAGUGAACUUAAGUAGGCAGUAUAGUUAAAUCAUCCACUGCCUUCAAGGGAUAUAAACAUCAAUUUUCUGGCACCUCAUAUUUGCCAAUGAAAUCACAUUAAAUGGUAAAACAUUAGCUCUUUUAGCUUUCACUUGCUUCCUCCAACGUAAUGAUAAAGUACUAUAUCACUUAGUCUGCUCCUUCCUGCUGCCAAAUUCAUUUCUGAGUCUCUGGCAGGACUAAAAGAAUGUACCUGAGGUGAUUACUAAUAAGUUUUGAUUAUUAAAAAUUAAACCUUCUUACAUUCAUUUUUCAGGACAACAGUCAAGAAUCCCUGAGUUAAAGGCAACCCCUUGAUCAUCUUAACCUUGAACUGCUCAUUCCGAAGACUGAAGAACUAUCUCACAAUCUGGGCAUUUUAAUAGUGACGUAAAUUACUGACUCUAAAGAAAUAGCCAACUUUUAACAAGGGGCAGCUGACUACAUCCUGGAAUAAAUUAGGCUCAAUGUUAAUCAAUAGGAGAGAACCAAUAUGAUUCACAAUUCACUCUCUGAAUCACAUGUAUCUUCAGCAAAGGUGGUUUUUAUCAUGGUAAUUGGCAUGG